UACGUAGGGUCCGAGCGUUGUCCGGAGUUACUGGGCGUAAAGCGCGCGCAGGCGGCGGUGUUGGCCCGGCGUGAAAGCCCCCGGCUCAACCGGGGAGAGUCGUCGGGGACCGCACCGCUUGAGGGCGGUAGGGGCUGGUGGAAUGCCUGGUGUAGUGGUGAAAUGCGUAGAGAUCAGGCAGAACACCUGGGGCGAAGGCGGCCAGCUGGGCCGUCCCUGACGCUGAGGCGCGAAAGCAUGGGGAGCGAACGGG
rnacentral:rRNA from 1 species